rnacentral:tRNA from 1 species
GACUCAAUGAUCUAAGGGUAUGAUAUAGCUUCUUCAUAGCUAGUAUGCGAGUUCGAAUCUCGCUUGAGUUA